rnacentral:rRNA from 1 species
GACGUAGGGCGCGAGCGUUGUCCGGAUUUAUUGGGCGUAAAGAGCUCGUAGGCGGCUUGUCGCGUCGAAUGUGAAAACUCGGGGCUCAACUCCGAGCUUGCAUUCGAUACGGGCAGGCUAGAGUUCGGUAGGGGAGACUGGAAUUCCUGGUGUAGCGGUGAAAUGCGCAGAUAUCAGGAGGAACACCGAUGGCGAAGGCAGGUCUCUGGGCCACUACUGACGCUGAGAAGCGAAAGCGUGGGGAGCGAACAGG